rnacentral:rRNA from 1 species
CAAAGGGGUGGGCAGAUGUCUUGGGGGAGGGCAGCGGCAGUUGGGAGGCAGCGGUGCGUGGUGCGCGGUGGCAGCGGCGGGGCGGUUUUUUUUGUCGGGGUUAGACUCGUGUUACCUCGGGAGGGGGCGCCGGCGAAAGCGGGUACCGCAGCAGCAGCGACUGGCUGCGGCGGCGGUGACUAGGGGUGGGCUGGGGGCGGGGUUAGCGGCAGGGGUCGGGCGCCCUUGGAGACGCGUGGUGGACGAGCUGGCGGCGCUGUGCGGCGCGCCCUCCCGCUGCGAGCGCUACCUGCCCUGAGGCGGCGCGUUCGGCCUCCGCUUCGACCGCCGGCCGCUCCGGCCCAUGCAGGAGCUCCUGCACGGCGUGCAGAGGCUGAUGGAGGGGCUAGAGGGCUGGAUGGGUUUGGGUGACGUUCUAUUGUGUCGUAUGAGCCAACAGUUCGUUAUGAAGCAACUAGGCCUACUGUGACAGACAGUCUUCUAACAACAGGUGUUCCUACCGGGUUCUCCUUUGGUGAAGGCAGCACGACCUGGAGCGGUUUCCCAUAUAGUGCGGCACAAAUACGAAUGUAUCGCUAAAAACAGAGGUAGUCCAGAUAAAACUUGGACUGCUCCAGGUACGUACGUAACAGUGGACACCUCCUGAGACGGGACCUGAAUUAUGACACUAAUCCCUUUAACAUACGCCGAAUAGACUGUACAUACCACAAUGGUUCUAUGAACCCUAAGUCCCACCCAUAUCUCCAAAGAUGCGAGCCUUAUGGUAGCUGAACUGAGGUUUCUCACAUUUACUGUAAGUGUUUUCCCCGCCUUGAUAAGAACCGAGCAGUGCUCCUCCGGUACUGUGGUACUUCUAACAACUAUCGUAAGUCAUGGCACCAUAUUUAGUCCACAUACAAUAACCACCACUACCAUCAGUUUCCCCACGUCCUCACUAAAAACUUCUCCAGUCUUUCGCACCAGAGUUUCAACGACAACGACCGUAAGGAUUCUGAUAACUAUUACUGUAGGGCCAUUAACUAUUCAGGAAACCAAAGCUGUCACGUCAGCUCCUUCGAGUUGCACGGUAUUUACGGCGAGUACAUCUCCGACCUUCACGACUGUUACCUUAUCCGGAACAUUUCGAUUACCCUGCUAUGUCACCAAAGUAGCGUGUAAUACGGUGGGAUCGUUCGUCUCUACACCUAACAACGAACUAAGGCCUCAGUGGAAAGAUAGACCUUCCACUUCCACCCGAGAAGUUUAUAUAUCUUUUCGCAGACUUCCUCUUACCGGUAUACCAGUAACAGCAACGCCUCCCACGUCCUGUCUUUGAAUAACGGCUUUUGUACUUCCUUUACCCCGUUCUACGAAGACCGUUGCGUGACGAAGAACUACAACCAGAAACCAACAGAGUCUUCUAUUUACUCGUAAAGUUCUUUUUGUUCUGUUGGUAUUUAGACUUCAUGUAUCUAGGAUGUAUGUACUAUGCGCGGUAAGGAUCGUUGCGUAGCCUAUUACAAAUGACGUGUAACGACCGAGUGUCACACCAGGUGCCUCGGUACCGACCUAUGUGGCCAAAGUGACAGCCGGUUCAUUUGCCGGCCGUGACGAUGUAAGGGAACAUGUCCUAGUGUCUCUUCGUCUUGUUCCAGAGCUAUUGACUGUCCUACACCCGUUCCGAAGAGAGGAGGUGGUUGGUCGGCUCGAAGGAGUCGUUCGUUCUGCAGCUGCUACGGUUCCAGCUCCUGCUCUCCUGUCGGUUCGAGAACCUGCCGAGCGGAAGCUUGGGGUUCCAGCUUCUAUUUCAGGCGUAGCUAAUCAUGGGCGGUCGACAUAAACAACCAAGAAGGUUAACGGUUCAGUGCGAAAUCAAUCAAGAAGGAGGUCAACUUUAAGGUCACCAUUUAUUUAUACGUGUCAACCGACCUGAAAGGUCUAUAAACACAGUUGGAAAAAUGCUAAAUAUUUGCCGUUAUUUCCUUUAGUCAAAGAGCUA